CUGUUUCCUGCCCCUGCCUUUCCCACCACAGGGAACACCACGUGUUCACUCCGUGAGAACAGUCCUGCCUGGAAUGUCAGGCUCUCGUCCCUUGUCGUUUCCGCAGACUUGCGUGCAGGGAGAGUCGGUGCCUUUUCCCUGCGGAGUUGCCCCACGCUGCAGCGACGUCAGUGUUGGGGACGGCUCUGAGAAGCUGCGCUUCAGUGUGGUGAAAAGAUCAUGGUGGUACAACCUGGGCGAGAGCCUGCAACAGCCCUUGGAAAGCUGGAGAAAACAAACCCAAGCAAUUCUUCCAGGGCAUUUGGAUUCAUUCCCGCAUUUUAUAUUUAGUUGUUGAUCUUGUUUUAGGCAGUCGAGUCACUUCCAAGUGAGAACGGACAGGCCUGCGUUACACCCAGAACACCUGGUGGAGGAAGAACACCUGACUUUGUCUCAGACAGGAAUAUUCUCCACACCUGAAAGCAUUUCCAGUGCUUUUCCCUUGUAUUCUGCUGUGAGCUUAUUUCCAGCUGGUGCCCUGAUACACAACUGCUGGGGAGCUGCAGAUGAAGGUUCUCCUUGUCCCUUGCAGCGCAGCUUGUCUCCAGUUCCCGACAUGGCGGUAAUGAGCCUUUAACUACAACGUUUGGCAUCUCCUGAACUUCCAGUGCCACGCAGCAAAGAAUAUUUGCCCAAAUGAGAAAAAUUUGUGUCCCCAGACUUGCUGUGGAUUUACUUUCCCAGCACUGCAACGCAGAUCUUUCCACUGCGAGUGUCAGGAUCCGCACUAACCCUUGGCCCCGACCUCUUUUUGAGCUGUGGCUUUUCCUCCUCUCUGCAGUUGGUACCUACAGCUGAUUGCUGGGUACGCUGCGCUCCCCACCCCAGCCCUGAAAGUCAUUAGAGAUCAAUUCAGCGCGGUUUUUCUUCCCUUUAACAGAAAACAAUUUGAAGACAAUGUUCCUCAAGACACAAUGUUUCUUCAGAGCUUUCUUUUAAAUUGAUUUAAAAUAAAUUAUAUUUCUCUGAAAAUUUAAAGCACAUCCUUCUGAAAUAAACAAGU